UACGGAGGGGGCAAGCGUUGUUCGGAAUUACUGGGCGUAAAGGGCGAGUAGGCGGCCCCGAAAGUCAGAUGUGAAAGCCCUCGGCUCAACCGGGGAACUGCAUCUGAAACUGCGAGGCUUGAGUCCGGGAGAGGGGGGCGGAAUUCCCAGUGUAGCGGUGAAAUGCGUAGAUAUUGGGAGGAACACCGGUGGCGAAGGCGGCCCCCUGGACCGGUACUGACGCUCAGGAGCGAAAGCUAGGGGAGCGAAUGGG
rnacentral:rRNA from 1 species